rnacentral:rRNA from 1 species
CAUCGUCUUUUUGGUAAUAAUAUAAGAUUUAGCCUGCCCACUGAGGAUUUAAAUGGCCGCGGUAUUUUGACCGUGCAAAGGUAGCAUAAUAAUUAGUUUUUUGAUUGAAAGCUGGAAUGAAUGGCUGGACGAGAAAAUCACUGUCUCUGGUUAAUUAUAUUUGAAUUUUAUUUUUAAGUUAAAAAGCUUAAAUUAUAUUAAAAGACGAGAAGACCCUAUAGAGUUUUAUAUUUAAUUUUAAAGGUAAUUUGAAGAAUUUAAUUUUCUUUUUUUGUUGAAUAUUUUAUUGGGGUGAUAAAAAGAUUAAUUUAACUCUUUUUUUAUUUUAACACUGAUAAGUGAUAAUUUGAUCCAUUUUUUGUGAUUAUAAGAAUAAAUUACCUUAGGGAUAACAGCGUAAUCUUUUUAGAGAGUUCUUAUCGAAAUGAAGGGUUGCGACCUCGAUGUUGGAUUAAAGUUAAUUUUUGGUGCAGAAGCUAAAAAAUUGAGUCUGUUCGACUUUUAAAACUUUACAUGAUCUGAGU